AGUGAACGCUGGCGGUAGGCCUAACACAUGCAAGUCGAACGGCAGCACAGUAAGAGCUUGCUCUUACGGGUGGCGAGUGGCGGACGGGUGAGGAAUACAUCGGAAUCUACUUUUUCGUGGGGGAUAACGUAGGGAAACUUACGCUAAUACCGCAUACGACCUACGGGUGAAAGCAGGGGAUCUUCGGACCUUGCGCGAUUGAAUGAGCCGAUGUCGGAUUAGCUAGUUGGCGGGGUAAAGGCCCACCAAGGCGACGAUCCGUAGCUGGUCUGAGAGGAUGAUCAGCCACACUGGAACUGAGACACGGUCCAGACUCCUACGGGGGGCAGCAGUGGGGAAUAUUGGACAAUGGGCGCAAGCCUGAUCCAGCCAUACCGCGUGGGUGAAGAAGGCCUUCGGGUUGUAAAGCCCUUUUGUUGGGAAAGAAAAGCAGCAGGUUAAUACCCCGCUGUUUUGACGGUACCCAAAGAAUAAGCACCGGCUAACUUCGUG
rnacentral:rRNA from 1 species